rnacentral:rRNA from 1 species
GACGAACGCUGGCGGCGUGCCUAAUACAUGCAAGUCGAACGCAUUUUCCUUCACCGUAGCUUGCUACACCGAUAGAGCAUGAGUGGCGAACGGGUGAGUAACACGUGGGUAACCUGCCCAUCAGCGGGGGAUAACACUUGGAAACAGGUGCUAAUACCGCAUAAUUCCAUUUACUGCAUGGUAGAUGGAUGAAUGGCACUUUUGCGGCACAGAUGGGUGGACCCGCGGUGCAUUAGCUAGGGGGUGGGGUGACGGCCUACCAAGGCUGCGAUGCAUAGCCGACCUGAGAGGGUGCUCGGCCACACUGGGACUGGGACACGGCCCAGACUCCUACGGGAGGCAGCAGUAGGGGAUCUUCGGCGAUGGACGCAAGUCUGACCGAGCAACGCCGCGUGAGUGAAGAAGGUUUUCGGAUCGUAAAACUCUGUUGUUAGAUAAGAACAAGGAGGAGAGUGGAAAGUUCAUCUCUUGACGGUAUCUAACCAGAAAGCCCCGGCUAACUACGUG